AGGAAGUGCAAACGGGGGAUACCUAGGCACAUACAGGCGAAGAAGGACGUGGCAAGCUGCGAAAAGCUACGGGGAGUUGCAAGCGAACGAUGAUCCGUAGAUGUCCGAAUGGGGUAACCUAAUAGAGCGAACCUCUAUUGCAUGCGAGCGAACGUGGUGAACUGAAACAUCUAAGUAGCCACAGGAAAAGAAAACAAAAGUGAUUUCCUGAGUAGUGGCGAGCGAAAGGGAAGGAGCCCAAACCUAAUUUGUUAUGGCAAAUUAGGGGUUAUAGGACUGACGCGGUUUAUGAUGAAUCUAGCAGAAUAGUAUGGAAAGACUAGCCAUAGGAGGUGAUAGCCCUGUAAGCGAAAGAGGAGUCAUAAAGUCAGUAUCCUGAGUAGGUCGGGGUAGGAGGCGCCCUGAUUGAAUUAGCCGGCACCAUCCGGUAAGGCUAAAUACUCGUAUGUGACCGAUAGUGAACCAGUACUGUGAAGGAAAGGUGAAAAGCAGUCUGAGCAAGACGUUGAAAUAGAACUUGAAACCGUUUGCAUACAAUCAGUAGGAGCUUUGAGAUGAAGUGACUACGUGCCUUUUGCAUAAUGACCCUACGAGUUAAUAUUAGUAGCGAGACUAAGUUCUUAUGGGACGGAGUCAUAGGGAAACCGAGUCUGAAUAGGGCGAUAGUUACUAGUAUUAGACGCGAAACUUAGUGAUCUACCCAUGGACAGUCUGAAGUUUCAGUGACAUGAAAUGGAGGGGCGAACCAAUUAGCGUUGAAAAGCUACUGGAGGAUCUGUGGGUAGGGGUGAAAGGCUAAUCAAACUGAGAGAUAGCUCGUACUCUCCGAAAUGUCUUUAGGGACAGCCUUAUAAUAGUUUCAUAUAGGUAGAGCUACUGAUUGGGCUAGGGGGAGUCAAAUCCUGCCAAACUCAGACAAACUCCGAAUAAUAUGAAAUGAUUUAUAGGAGUGAGGGCUAGGGUGCUAAGGUUCUAGUCCGAGAGGGGAACAACCCAGACCAUCAUCUAAGGUCUCGAAGUGUAUAUUAAGUUGUAGUAACGCGGUUAUGUCGCAUAGACAGCCAGGAUGUUUGCUUGGAAGCAGCAAUUCAUUUAAAGAGUGCGUAACAGCUCACUGGUCGAGCGAUGUAGCACGGAGAAUAAACGGGCAUAAAUAUACCACCGAAGAUAUGGAUAUAUAGAGAUAUAUAUGGUAGGAGAGCAUUCUAAUACUUGGGAAGAUAAUCUGUGAGGGUUAUUGGAGGAAUUAGAAGAGCAAAUGUAGGGAUAAGUAACGAUAAAAACAGUGGAAAUCUGUUUCGCCGCAAGGUUAAGGGUUCCUGUUCAAUGUUCGUCAGAACAGGGUUAGUCGGUCGCUAAGGUAUAGCUGAGAGCGAAGCCGAUGCUAGACGGGUUAAUAUUCCCGUACUUAUUAUAUGAGCGAAGUAGAGACGCGUUAACGGUACACUGCGAACAGCCGGAAUAGUUCGUUGAAGGCGUAAGCCGAUAGUACUCUGAGGUCUUCGGAUAGUAGGGGAAAAUGUGUAGUAGUUAACAGCCGAGAAAAUCUACGUAGCAUAUCAUAUAAUAAACCGUACCGUAAACCGACACAGGUAACUGGGUUGAAUAUAUUAAGGCGCGUGAGUAAAUUACGGCUAAGGAACUCGGCAAAUUGCUCCUGUAACUUAGGGAAAAGGGAGGCCUAGAGAUAGGUUGCAGAGAAUAGGUCCAGGCGACUGUUUAACAAAAACACAGGACUCUGCGAAUUCGCGAGAAGCGGUAUAGGGUCUGACACCUGCCCGGUGCUGGAAGGUUAAGGGGGGAUGUUAUCGCGAGAGAAGCAUUGAACCGAAGCCCCAGUAAACGGCGGCCGUAACUAUAACGGUCCUAAGGUAGCGAAAUUCCUUGUCGGGUAAGUUCCGACCUGCACGAAUGGUGUAACGAUCUGGACACUGUCUCAGCCGUAUGCUCAGUGAAAUUGUAUUACCGGUGAAGAUGCCGGUUACCCGCUACGGGACGAAAAGACCCCGUGAACCUUCACUACAACUUGACACUGUUUUUUGUUAACAGAUGCGUAGGAUAGGUGGGAGACAGAGAGGCUUAGCUUCUGGGUUAAGCGGAGUCGUCGUUGAAAUACCACUCUUCUGUUAAUGAAAGACUAACUUUUUAUAAAGGAAGGACACUGUCUGGUGGGUAGUUUGACUGGGGUGGUCGCCUCCUAAAGCGUAACGGAGGCUUACAAAGGUUCCCUCAGCACGCUUGGCAACCGUGCGUAGAGUGCAAUGGCAUAAGGGAGCUUGACUGUGAGACAGACAUGUCGAGCAGGUACGAAAGUAGGUCAUAGUGAUCCGGUGUUUCUGAAUGGAAGGGACAUCGCUCAAAGGAUAAAAGGUACUCCGGGGAUAACAGGCUGAUCUCCCCCAAGAGCUCACAUCGACGGGGAGGUUUGGCACCUCGAUGUCGGCUCGUCAUAUCCUGGGGCUGCAGAAGGUCCCAAGGGUUCGGCUGUUCGCCGAUUAAAAUGGCACGCGAGCUGGGUUCAGAACGUCGCGAGACAGUUCGGUCUCUAUCUGUAGUGGGCGUAGGAUAUUUGAGAGGACACGUUCUUAGUACGAGAGGACCGGAACGUACUUACCUCUGGUGUACCAGUUGUAGUGCCAACUGCACCGCUGGGUAGCUAUGUAGGGAUGAGAUAAGCGCUGAAAGCAUCUAAGCACGAAACUCACCUCAAGAUGAGAUAUCCAUAUAGGGUCGUAGUAGACGACUACGUAGAUAGGCUGCAGGUGUAAGUAUAGUAAUAUAUUGAGCCGAGCAGUACUAAUUACCUGAAAAG
rnacentral:rRNA from 1 species